CCCAACGAGGCAACCACGCCGCCACCCACACCCACCCACCACUGGCACCGUAGCCUCGUCUCCUCCCCUCGAUCCACCCUCGCGCCGGCACCGCAGCCUCGUCUCCACGACCUCGUACCAUCCACGCUUGCUCCACAGCGCCUCCGACGACCGCGCCCGGAGCGCGACGGCGCCGCCGUUCCGAGCACUUACGGCGUCGGCCCGGCCCCCAAAACCCUCGCGGCGGCCACGCAUCCCUCCAUCGUUCGCCGUUGUCGCCGCCGCCACGCGAUGCCCGUGGGCAUCUGAUCCAUGUCUCACCCCCACGCCUGCGCCCCCAAGCGUCGUCCUAGGGUUCUGUUCUGCGGCUGACCGGAGUCCAAGCCAUGGCGCGGAAGAUGCUCAAGGACGGGGAGACGCGCGUCAUCGCUGACGGCGGGGGCGUGGAGAGCUACGACUGCGACCUGUUCGUCUGAGAUCCACCGCGUUCGUCCAUCGAGGACAUGAGGACCUUGGAACCAUGGCGACCAUGACCAGCGAACAAAUGGGGCCACCGGGUUCAGCAUCAUCGACUGACCAUAGUCCUUGGCGCUUGCUCAGGAUGCUCCGACGAUCACCAGAAUUCCCUUCAGAGCCAUACUUCAUUUUUUGCUUGGUAUGCUGCUGGUCUGAAUCUACUUACAUGCUUGACUUAAUUUAACUUGGUGCUGAAACAAGCACUCGGUUGGGGCCUCCUGGGCGAUGCCUACGACCGCUGCGGCGAGGUCUGCGCCAAGUACGCCACCUUCUACUUUGAAGAUAGAAUCUGGACGCCCUUCCCUGGUCGAUGACACCCUUCCCUGGUUGACGACACCCUUCCGUCGUGGGCUCUUAGUAGGACGGCGACCCACAAGAUCCACACCCUUGUGGCCCUGUGACCCUCAAGCUCGACGGCUAGAUCCCCUACGGCCAAGCCCUUCUACUCGAGAGUCAAGUCCCAGUCCGACUUCUCUGCUUCCCAGCUGCUCCUUCAGUCCGGCUUCAGCAGCUCACUUCUCACCACGACCAGGAAAUGAAAGAUCGCUCGACAAACGGCCGCUUCCAGUCAGUUGGAUCUGAUCUUAUACCCGCACACGAGAGCUACCGGAGCAGCAGCAGAUUAACAAGGACCCAAGCUGGACUCCCAAGUUCUUCGGCUCAAGGCGCUAAGGUGCUAAUGUGUUGGAGACGUGCCUGUACUUGUUGAGCGUUUUAUCUGUAGAGUGCUAUAUUGUGAUUGGUGUAAUAUUGUAUGGUUAUAUUGUGAUUGGUGGAAUGUAAUAAACUUGAUUGGUAUAUUGGUGAUUUGGCUGUUAUUUGAAUAUAUUUAAAAUGUGUUCUCUGAUUGGUAUAUCAUU
rnacentral:rRNA from 1 species